rnacentral:rRNA from 1 species
AGAUCAUCAUUGGGUAUAAAGCGUGCGCAGGCGGUUUUGUAAGACAGAGGUGAAAUCCCCGGGCUCAACCUGGGAACUGCCUUUGUGACUGCAAGGCUGGAGUGCGGCAGAGGGGGAUGGAAUUCCGCGUGUAGCAGUGAAAUGCGUAGAUAUGCGGAGGAACACCGAUGGCGAAGGCAAUCCCCUGGGCCUGCACUGACGCUCAUGCACGAAAGCGUGGGGAGCAAACA